UAAAAAAGUUUAGUAAAAAUUUAUUUUUAAAUAAAAAAUUAUUAAUUUAUUUUUAUUUUAGUAUUAUUUAAGAAAAAUUUAUUUUAAUUAUAGUUAAUUAGUAAUGUGAAUGAAUGAUUAAAAAUAUUUGGAAGAAUUUAUUAUUUAAAGUACCUUUUGUAUCAGGGUUUAUUAAAUUAAGAAUUAAAAUAUAAUUUAUUUCGAAUUUAAAAGAUUUAAUUUAUUAUUUUUUUUAUUGUGGAAUAACUAUUUAUAAUAAUAAAUUAGUAAUGAAAUGUUAAUCGUUUUUAAAUAUAUCUAGUUUUUUCAGAAAAAAAUUUAAUUUUAAUAUAAAUUAUUAUUUGAUUUAAGAAAAAAUUUAAAUUUGAUUUAUAUAAAGAUUUUUAGGGAUAAGCUUAAAAGUUUAAUUAUAUUUAAGUAAGGUGUUUUUAAUUAAAUUUAUGAUUAGAAAUUUCAAUAAUAUAGAUAAUUUUAUAAUUUAUAAUUAAAAAUUAUAAUUUUAAAUAAAAAUUAAUUUAUUUAUGAAAAUAUUUAAUAAAAUAAUUUAUUAAAGAAAAAAUGAUAAAAUUAGUAUAUUUAUUAAUAAUUUAAUUUUAAUAUAAAAGUAAAUUAAAAUUAAGGAAUUCGGCAAAUAAUUAUUCGCCUGUUUAUCAAAAACAUGGUUUUUUGUUUAUAAUUUAAGAUUUAAUCUGCCCACUGAAAUUAUUUUAAAGGGCCGCAGUAUCUUGACUGUGCAAAGGUAGCAUAAUCAUUUGUCUUUUAAUUGUUGACUUGUAUGAAUGAUUGGACGAGAUAAUUACUGUCUCAGUUUUAUUUAAAAUAAAAUUUUAUUUUUAAGUUAAAAAGCUUAAAUAAAUUUUAAAGACGAGAAGACCCUAUAGAGUUUUAUUAAUUUAAUAAAAAUAUUUUAUUAAUAAUAAUUUUUUAUAAAAAUUAAUUUAAUUGGGGUGAUUAAAAAAUUUAAUAAACUUUUUAAAAAUAUAUUCAAAAAAUUUUGUUUAAUUUGAUCCAUAAAUUUUGAUUAAUUGAUUAAAUUACCUUAGGGAUAACAGCGUUAUUACUUUGGAAAGUUCAUAUUUAUAAAGUAGUUUGCGACCUCGAUGUUGAAUUAAGAUAAAUUUUUGGAGCAGUAUUUAAAAUUUUUAGUCUGUUCGACUAUUAAAUUCUUACAUGAUUUGAGUUCAAACCGGUGUAAGCCAGGUUGGUUUCUAUCUUAAAUAAUAUAAAAUAUUUUAGUACGAAAGGACCAUGUAUUUAAUUAAAAAUUUAAUUUAAG
rnacentral:rRNA from 1 species